CCAAUAGCGUAUAUUAAAGUUGCUGCAGUUAAAAAGCUCGUAGUUGAAUUUCGGGACCAUCAUGUCGGUCGUGCCUCGGUACGUACUGGCAUUGUUGGUUUCUCCCUUCUGACGAACCAUGAUGUCAUUUAUUUGGUGUUGUGGGAAAUCAGGACUGUUACUUUGAAAAAAUUAGAGUGUUUAAAGCAGGCUCACGCUUGAAUACAUUAGCAUGGAAUAAUGAAAUAGGACGUUUGAUUCUAUUUUGUUGGUUUCUAGGAUCGACGUAAUGAUUAAUAGGGAUAGUUGGGGGCAUUAGUAUUCAAUUGUCAGAGGUGAAAUUCUUGGAUUUAUUGAAGACUAACUACUGCGAAAGCAUUUGCCAAGGAUGUUUUCAUUAAUCAAGAACGAAAGUUAGGGGAUCGAAGACGAUCAGAUACCGUCGUAGUCUUAACCAUAAACUAUGCCGACUAGGGAUCGGAUGAUGUUAAUUUUUUAAUGACUCAUUCGGCGCCUUACGG
rnacentral:rRNA from 1 species